rnacentral:rRNA from 1 species
ACGCCAGACUCCUACGGGAGGCAGCAGUGAGGAAUAUUGGUCAAUGGCCGAAGGGCUGAACCAGCCAAGCCGCGUGAAGGAAUAAGGCCCUACGGGUCGUAAACUUCUUUAGUCAGGGAACAAAGGGUGCCACGCGCGGCGCUGUGAGUGUACCUGAAGAAUAAGCAUCGGCUAACUCCGUGCCAGCAGCCGCGGUAAUACGGAGGAUGCGAGCGUUAUCCGGAUUUAUUGGGUUUAAAGGGUGCGUAGGCGGCAUUAUAAGUUAGUGGUAAAAUAUUGGGGCUUCACCUCACUACGCCAUUAAUACUGUAGAGCUAGAGAACAGACGAGGUAGGCGGAAUAAGUUAAGUAGCGGUGAAAUGCAUAGAUAUAACUUAGAACACCGAUAGCGAAGGCAGCUUACCAGACUGAGUCUGACGCUGAUGCACGAGAGCAUGGGUAGCGAACAGGAUUAGAUACCCUAGUA